UGACGGGACCGCACAAGCAGCGGAGCGUGUGGUUUAAUUCGAUGCUACACGAAGAACCUUACCAAGGUUUGACAUGUAAGUGGUAGUGAUCUGAAAAGUGAACGACCCUUCGGGGAGCUUACACAGGUGCUGCAUGGCUGUCGUCAGCUCGUGUCGUGAGAUGUUCGGUUAAGUCCGCUAACGAGCGCAACCCUCACUGUGUGUUACAUGUGUCACACGGGACUGCCGGUUUUAAGCCGGAGGAAGGCGAGGAUGACGUCAAGUCAGCAUGGCCUUUAUAUCUUGGGCUACACACACGCUACAAUGGUCUGUACAAUAGGUUGCCAAGCCGCGAGGCGGAGCCAAUCCUUAAAGCAGGCCUCAGUUCAGAUUGCAGGCUGCAACCCGCCUGCAUGAAGAUGGAGUUGCUAGUAACCGCAGGUCAGCUAUACUGCGGUGAAUACGUUCCCGGGUCUU
rnacentral:rRNA from 1 species